GACGAACGCUGGCGGCGUGCUUAACACAUGCAAGUCGAACGGACAGGCCCUGCUUUUGUGGGGUUCUCGAUUGGCGAACGGGUGAGUAACACGUGAGUAACCUGCCCUUGACUUUGGGAUAUCUUCAGGAAACUGGGGCUAAUACCGGGUAGGAGCUCCUGCUGCAUGGUGGGGGUUGGAAAGUUUCGGCGGUUGGGGAUGGACUCGCGGCUUAUCAGCUUGUUGGUGGGGUAGUGGCUUUCCAAGGCUUUGACGGGUAGCCGGCCUGAGAGGGUGACCGGCCACAUUGGGACUGAGAUACGGCCCAGACGCCUACGGGAGGCAGCAGUGGGGAAUAUUGCACAAUGGGCGGAAGCCUGAUGCAGCAACGCCGCGUGCGGGAUGACGGCCUUCGGGUUGUAAACCGCUUUCGCCUGUGACGAAGCGUGAGUGACGGUAAUGGGUAAAGAAGCACCGGCUAACUACGUG
rnacentral:rRNA from 1 species